rnacentral:snRNA from 1 species
GUGCUCGCUUCGGCAGCAUAUAUACUAAAAUUGAAAUGAUACAAAGAAGAUUAGCAUGCCCCCCCCCCAAAAAAAAAGUAUACUCACAAUAACUCAAAGUUCUU